rnacentral:rRNA from 1 species
UUUGGAGAGUUUGAUCCUGGCUCAGGACGAACGCUGGCGGCGUGCCUAAUACAUGCAAGUCGAGCGAAUCCUUCGGGAUUAGCGGCGGACGGGUGAGUAACACGUAGGCAACCUGCCCGUAAGUCUGGGAUAACUAUCGGAAACGAUAGCUAAUACCGGAUACGAAGAGAGAACGCAUGUUCUCUUUUGGAAAGGCGGAGCAAUC